rnacentral:rRNA from 1 species
UACGUAGGGACCGAGCGUUGUCCGGAAUCAUUGGGCGUAAAGAGCGUGUAGGCGGCCUUUUAAGUCCUGCGUGAAAUCCUGCGGCUCAACCGCAGACGGUCGUGGGAAACUGGAAGGCUAGAGUGCGGGAGAGGAGAGUGGAAUUCCCGGUGUAGCGGUGAAAUGCGCAGAUAUCGGGAAGAACACCCGUGGCGAAGGCGGCUCUCUGGAACGCAACUGACGCUGAGGAGCGAAAGCAUGGGGAGCGAACAGG